CUGUUUUUUUUUUUUUUUUAAAGCAAUCAACUUCUUAGAAUAAUCCACUGCUGCCAUUUCUGAUGUCGAAAAGGAUGAAAUAAAGGAUACAUUUCUCAUGAAUGAAUUGUGGAUCCUAGAAAGUUUGUAAUAAUAGGACGAGAAAAAUAAUGUAGGAGUAUAUUAUAAACCUGCGACUCUGGACAUCGGUUGUAUUCGGGUCACCACGCUAUGUUCAUUACGGUAUCGAUUUACUGAGUUCUGCACUGUGGUCAGUCUUCUCAAACGUAAGCUCCCCGGCAACUUUUUUGAGUUUAGUGGCCUUCAACUUUGUGUUUGGUUAGGUUAACAAACUUUUGGCCGACCUAACCUUUGUGGUGUUCCUUAACUUAUCAGUUAAACUGUUUCAGCAGUCACCUGACGGGCAUCCUGGGCAUAUCUGUUGUUAAUUAUGAUUUAUUAUUUAUUUUUAUUAUUUAUUUCAAGGAUUUUUUCAGAUACUUUGUGUGUGCUCCGUAGUCAUCAUCCAUCACUGAACCAAAGAGGCCCAAUGCCAAGGACUUCCUACCCCUCAGAGUAAACUUGAAUUUCCCUUAUUCCACCUUUAAAAUUGUUCUGUAUUAUUUUUAGGAGUAUUCUAUUAAGACUUUUUUCAUAAUUAAUUAUGCUCAUUGUGGUUUGUAGAUAAUUAUAAAGGUAGAAUAAACUAUAAUGGUCAUGAGAGAAGACGUUUAUAUUAUGCGCAGUCGAAUGUAAUAUAAACGAUCCAGAAAACUUAAAUUUAUAAAUUACAAGUCCAUUUAUUAAAAUAUAAUCAAUCAAACUAUUUUAACAUUUUAGUUAACUCUCAUUCAAUAAGCUUCUUAAGUAGCAUCCAACCUAAGAACUUCUUAGACAUUUCAUUCUGGCUACCCUUAUUUUUUCAUUAAAACACACAAG